rnacentral:misc_RNA from 1 species
UGAAGUUUAGUCAUUAUCUCUAUCUGCGGCAACAUUGUAUUGGCUGUCGCUAACGCUAAUGUUCAACGAGAGAAUUUCGAUUCAGCUACUGGGAAAACGCUUGUAAAGUGCAUGAAGCCUUAGUGGGUUCAUUCUCGCCAAAGCUAGGGACUCAAAACCGUUCAAUUCAGUCUUCGAUUCGAUUUUCUCGAUGGCACGUUUGCGGAUGCAGAUUGCGUCUUAUUUAGCUACCCUUUUCUUCUUUGUCCAGUUUAGAGGGGGAUCCCAGUACUCCCUAGCAAAUCAUCGCAAACCAAGCUACAUAAUUGCUAUGAUUGGAUACUCUGUUGAUCUAGAUUGUCAAAUGAAUGAUCCUUAUGUUAGUGUUUCUCUAAAACAAACAAAAGAAAAAAAGGAUUUUGACAGGAUUGCCGAUGGAAUCAAAGUAACACAGAGUGGACAAAUAUUUACCAUCAACAAUGUUGAAAAGACUGAUGAAGGAAAAUAUUUCUGCAAAGUUGGACCAACUUCUAUGCGGAUAGAAGAAGUUUUGGCAACGAGGAAAACAACAGGAAAAUACAUUUCUUCAUUUUCAAUACUUCCAACAAAUGCUACAGCAAAAGAAGGAGAAAGUGUCACUUUCACUUGCACUGUAACUGGAAAAGGCAUAAAAAAUGUGGAAUGGUAUAAAAACAAAAAGAGAGUUUCUAGUACAUCACAGAACUUUAAUGAUACAUAUGUGAGCACUCUUCAGCUGUCACCAGUCACAUCUUCUCAAGCUGGCCUGUUUGAAUGCCGUGCAACGUUUGCAUAUGGAUUAAACAUGUAUAAGGCAUAUAAAGCCAAAUCAGGAUUGCUCUCAGUUACAGAGUUUAACUUCAUGGCAAAGAAGAGACAGUAUCAGAGAUUAUUUGUUGGAGACCCUCUGACAAUCAACUGUAGAACCAAUGACCAGACAGCAUCUUCCUCUAGUUUAUGGAAGAAGAAAGAUGAUACAAAUCCAGCAGAGGAAAUUCUUCCAAAUAACAGAUCCAUAACACAAAGGAAAAACAGAUUUUAUUUUAAAAGUGUGUCACUGGAUGAUGCCGGUCUGUACAUGUGCAAGGCUACCUUGCCAAGUAUAAACAAGACUAUUAAAGAGGAAAUUACUAGCCUGCUUGUCUUUACAGGUGAUCAAAGACGUCCUUGGCCUCAAGUGUACCCAUUCACUUCCAGUGUCCUUCGAGAUCAGAAUUUCAAUUUCUCCUGUCAGGCACCUGGUAAUGGAGUCUCCAUCACAUGGUUGAAAAAUGGGGGGAAAGUUCAGAAUCACCAGACACAGUUACAAUCAAGGAAAACACUAAAAGGCCUUCCCUUAAAUGAAAAUAUUCUGAUGCUGAAGACAGUUUCAUGGGUAGAUGCAGCAAAUUACACUUGUGUAGUUACAACCUCUCAACAGCCAGGAUAUUCCAGCAACAUUACAAGGGAGUUAUUUGUUGAAGAAUGUCUUGAGCCCAAUGAAAAGUUUGGUGAUCCCACUGAUCCAAGUGGCUACUUUGUAUGCAAACAAGGGAUCCCUAUCAAGGAAUUAUGUCCACAGUGGAUGAUAUGGAGCCUGGAAGAAAAGCGCUGCACUUCAAAUCUGUCAUGGGUUGUUCGUGGCUCUGAGCACUCGUAUGUCAUCUCAGGAACAGUAUUUCAAUUGGACUGCCAACUCAGUGAUCGAAAUACACAGGUGAAGCUAAGCAGAAAAUAUUCAGAGGAUGGGGACUUUCAAGAGAUUCCACAGUCAGACAAAACUAUUACACAAGAUGGCCAGAAUUUCUCAAUACUCUUUACUGGUAACAAGAUGACAUUCAAAUGCGAGGCUUUAGGGAAGAAUGGACAAGUUGUUCCUGAGCCAAAGGAAGUGGAACUUAUGAAGGCAAUAGACUUUCAGGUACAUGUUAACGUUGAAACCAAACCUCACUGUAUUAGUGGUCCUUUGGAGGUAAAUGAGAGCGUCACAGUAGUCUGCCGUGGGUAUCAUCACGGUGAUGUGAAGUGGUUUAAGAUAAAUCCAGGAUCGGCAGUUCCUCAGGAUAUAACAGAAACAUCUAUGGUGAUCAAACAUGCGCCAGAACACUUGCCAACGGGUCACACGGCUAGAGAGGCUACUUUGAAACUGAAAAAUGUGAAGCAAAGCGACAGAGGGGAGUAUCUCUGCUGGAAAAGCAAUGGAUACAAUGCUACCGCCAACAUUAGUAUCAUCAUCGAUGUGGCAGUUCCCUCACCAGCAAGGAUAGCCGGUCCACCACAACACCGGUCUGUAGAAGAGCCUUCUAGUGUCACAUUCCGCUGCACUGUAAGUGGUUCCCCCCCUCCAACGGUACAGUGGCAGAAGGGGAACAGAAUAGUCGCCACAUGCGAAGGAAAAACUGGCAUUUGUUCCUCCAUCGAUGGAACUAAGUUUGUAGCAGGGUGGGUGGAUGAGAGAAGUUGUUUAAGCCAACUAUGGAGUUCCCAAACAAGCGGUAGAUGGCUUAGUACGUUAAAAGUCGUGGAAACCCGGUUUCCGGCAGAUGAUGAUAACUACACUUGUGUAGUUAACAAUGACUUGGAUGAAGCAGUCAAACGGCAUGCACGGCUUCAAGUUAUAGUUUAUCCGAAGUUAAUCAAAGGAACUAAGAGCGGAUUCGAAAAUCCUGCUGUCUUCAAAAAUAGAAAAGAGGAGUUGAAGUGCACAACCGAACGCAGUAAUCCUGCAGCUAAUUUCUCGUGGAAAUAUCAGAAUAUCAAAAUCGGAUGCAAAGAGCCUUCUGAUUGCCAACCAUCGGGAGAAUGGAUGAGAAUCUCGAGUAGUUUUGUUGGAAAGGUAGAACAACGGUCUCUUAAUACCAGCGUUCUUAUAGUACCCAGCCACAUCGAUAGAAAGUUUUUCGAGUGUACCGCAACAAACCCCGCCGACCGUGGAAAGAAAGACUCGAAGGUGUACGCGUUUAUUCGAAGAGACGUGCCACUCCCCCUCGAAAAUUUGUAUGUCAAGCCCAAUCCUCUCGUGACAGCCAAUGUUGGUGAUAACAUUACAUUAACAUGUGAGGCCAAUAUUGGUGUCUUCAAAGAAUUCCCAUCCUGGUUUAAAGGAGGACAAACCCUCAGAAGUAGAUCAGUCAGGAAGAAUAAAGAAAUAAGUGAGCUUCGUAUAACUAAUGCGUCGCUCGACGAUGCUGGUCUUUACAUCUGUUCAGCCGAGAAGCUUAGUGAUGGAUUCAACACAAAAAAGUCUAUUGAAGUGGUGUUGCGGGAGCUGACAAAGCCGAGUGUUUCCAUCACUCCUAAUGUAACCAGACUUGGAGGCCAAGGUGUUGAAUUAUUCUGCAAUGUCACUGCAAAUCCUCUGCCGGCAUCUGUCACUUGGAGACGAAACGGAGAAAUAAUAAAAAUUCAGAAAACCAAGAGUGACGACUGCGGUCAACUGCAGAGUGGUGUCUACGAAAUGAGUGGAGGAACGAUUCCCGGGGUUUGGCGAAUAUUUAUCUGCUCUGUUAGCGACUCUUAUCACACAGGCGUUUAUCAGUGCGCGGUGGAGAACGCCAGAGGUCCAGGAUCUGCUGAUACGUUCUUGAAUAUCUUGGAGGAGCCAACUGUAUCCGUGACAGAGAUCUCACAAUUUGAGGAAAACGUCCAGCUGCAAUGUGCUGUGACUGGAAACCCACCUCCUACCGUGACCUGGCAGAGAAUCAACAACGAAGGUCAAAUUGUGCCGCUACCUGAUGCUACGAGAAGAUUCGCCAACCAGACGGUGUAUAUCAUUGAGGUGUCGGGUGGGAGUGACGAAGCAUCAUAUCAAUGUGUGGCAACCAAUUCUCAAGGAAGGAAAAAUCAGACUUAUUAUUUGUCCUCUAAACCUAAAGUCGGAGCUUUCAAACGCCUUAAGGACGAAAGCGAGUUCUCCAAAGUUGCCUUGAUCGUUGUUAUCGCUGUCAGCAGUUUCGUGAUCUUGUUCCUUCUAUUUAUCAUUGUGGUUCUUUAUCGGCGAAAGAAGCGAUACGGCGGAUUUUACAUCUUCACGCUUCCGCCUGCUCCUGAUUAUAUUAUGAAGUUAGAUCCAGAGAGAUCCUUGUUGGAACAAACAAGCAAACUGCCAUACGACGCUCAAUGGGAAUUUCCCAGGGAACGCCUUGAAAUUUUGAAGCCCCUUGGAUCUGGUGCGUUUGGCCAAGUAUUCCUUGCGCAUGCGGUUGGUAUCGUGGCGUUUGACCCGCGCGGUAGCACCAAGCGGAAGUCUGGACGCAGACGGUCAAGAUUUGGAUCCACGAGUCGGCCUUAUGUGAAUGACAAACGAGUAACAGCAGUUGCAGUGAAAAGUCUUAAAGAUUCUGCGACGGAAGCUGAAUAUAGGGAUUUGGCAUCUGAACUGAAGAUUCUGAUCCAUAUAGGCGAGCAUAAAAACAUUGUCAACUUGCUGGGCGCAUGCACCAAAGGUCGCGAGAGAGAUCUUUGGGUCAUAAUAGAGUAUUGUCCGCAUGGUAACUUACUGGAUUUCUUGCGGAAACGCCGAGACAUAUUCGAAGCAAAAUGGAGUACGCCUACCGAACACGCUGACGUUACAUUCACAACGAUUGAUCUUUACAUCUGUUCGUUGCAAGUCGCUCGUGCAAUGGAAUUCCUUACCUCAAGAAGAUGUGUUCAUCGUGAUCUUGCUGCUCGCAAUGUGUUAGUGGGUGAGGAUUAUGUUUUAAAAGUGGCUGACUUUGGAUUGGCGAGGGACAUCUAUAAAGAAGAGAAUUACGUCAAGACUACCUCGGGCUUGCUCCCAGUGAAAUGGAUGGCCAUCGAAGCCUUGGUUGACCGCGUCUACACGCACAAGAGUGAUGUAUGGUCUUUUGGGGUUUUGUUGUGGGAGCUGUUUACACUUGGUGGAUGUCCGUACCCAGGUCUCCCGGCCAACGAAGUUUAUCAGUAUUUGAUGGAAGGAAAUCGCAUGGAGAAGCCAUUGGAUUGCCCAAAUGAAAUGUACGAAGUAAUGUGCCAUUGUUGGUUGCAUAGCCCGGAUGACAGACCUUCAUUCACGGACCUUACUGCUGAGCUUGAUAAACGGUUGGAAGAGAGAUCUUCAGAGACUGGCGAAGGUUACCUUGAUCUUGAGAAUGCAGAAGAUGACCCAGACUUAAACGAGCCAACAUUUGACGAUGAAUAUCUGGAUCCAGGUGAAAGCCUCAUAAGACUUCCAGGCAGCCCCACUUCAGAACAAGAAAAACACGCCCCGCUGCCACCCCUCCCUACAGAAGACAUUGAGCUGGAAAUCUUUGAGCCAGAAAACCCCAAGGAUGAAGAAAAACAGAAAUUUAUUCUCCAGGACCCACCAAAGGAGAGAGUUGCCCGACGCAAGGACAGCGAGUUGGAAAAAGCUCGUAAAGACACUCUCGAUAAAGAGAAGCCCAAAGAAAGUGUGAGCCAGGUAAAUGAUGACGACUUCAUAAGCCAGAAGGAACAGCUUCAUUCUGAAGAUGAGGAUAAGGACGUUUGCGAGAGAAACUCUGGAGUUUUCGAGUAUCCACCUGAAUACGAACAGAGAAAUUCGCCGCUUUCUAUGCAAGAAGAUGGCUACUACAGCGACCAGAACUCGCCAGGCGCAGACGAAAGGCAGAAAUUCAUUCCUUCUUCGGACGAUGUGUCUUAUAAAGGAGGAAAAGUUGGCCUUCGAGGAAGGCAACCCUCCAACAGAUACGUGAAUUCAUAAUGAAAAUAACCAAUAAAAUAAAAUAAUUGUACACGAAAUGUUUGGGAAAUCAAGCAAUAAUAGUGUGUGUAGGUCCACUCAGAGCUGCACUGGCUUUGACCCAGCAAAAAUUUGCUCUGUCUAAGAAAGAAAAAGAAUACUUUGAAUGAAUGACAGCAAAUUUGUAAUUUUCAAAGAGACAACCGCGACAAUCGCACUUCCGACGACAUUAGAGAUUUCAAAAACGUCCACAGUUGUUUAAGAAGUGUUUGUUUUCUGUUCAAAGAUCUUGCAGAUCUUUUAGCCUUUUACAAAGUAUUGGCGGUUGUUCCAAAAGACAAAAGCUACGAUAGCUAUAGAAAGCUUAUAUCAAAUUCAAAUAUUUAUUCAGGCAAUAAAUAUAGAAACAGAUAAUUAACAAGUUCUAUCUUUUUUGCAGAAUACAAUGUUACUUCUCUGAGAUUUGAAUGACUUAAAAAGAAAAUUUCUGGACAGAGUAACUUGGUAUUCUGUGGAAAUGCGAUUAUUCUGAUUAUGUCACAGAAAUAUCUAUUCGCUUAAACAUUUUGCUACAGGCAUGAUCAGCAUUUGAGUUCUUACAAUUCUAAUUCACUGUCAAACAGACUGAUAAUGGGAAUAAAUGAAAUUAUCAAUGAAGGUAAAUUAUGCUGAUAAAACUCUAUGUUAGAGAGAGGCAACAAAUAUAUGGUGGGCAUUAGUUAGUAGAAUCACAUCUCAGAUCAUGAGAGUGGUGGGCUGUCUAUAUUUUGUUCAAUUUCAGGUUUGUUUCGUUUUACUUAGGCCUUCCUAUCCUAUGAAAGACCUCCAGUUUUUAAUGUAGCAUACCAGGAUAGUUCAUAAAGUGGGAGAGCGGAGUGAUAGUAAGAAGGCGCGGUGGGGAAAAUGGAAGAGGUAUGUCGCUCUCGGGGAUUUUGUCUGAUGAAAGUGUAGAGGUUUCUACAGUUAACUGAGGCCUACAAGAAAAAAUUUACGAUAGAAUUAGUGAGAAAUUAUAAUGUAAUAUAUCGUAUUUAUUACAUGAACUAAUUUCAUUUUUUCACAGUUUUACGAGACCACUGCGUGAAUGGUCUUAAUAAAGUUUUGUUCUUAUUGUUA